AGGGNUACGUAGGUGGCUUAUUAAGUCAGUGGUGAAAAGCUGUGGNUCAACCGCANUCUUGCCAUUGAAACUGAUGAGCNUGAGUGUAGAUGAUGUAGGCGGAAUACGUAGUGUAGCNGUGAAAUGCAUAGAUAUUACGUGGAACACCAAUUGCGAAGGCAGCUUACAAAACUAUUACUGACACUGAGGUACGAAAGCGUGGGUAUCAAACAGGAUUAGAUACCCUGGCAGUCCACGCUGUAAAC
rnacentral:rRNA from 1 species